GACGUAGGGUGCGAGCGUUGUCCGGAUUUAUUGGGCCUAAAGAGCUCGUAGGCGGCUCGUCGCGUCGACCGUGAAAACCCGCGGCUUAACUGCGGGCUUGCGGUUGAUACGGGCGGGCUAGAGUUCGGUAGGGGAGACUGGAAUUCCUGGUGUAGCGGUGGAAUGCGCAGAUAUCAGGAGGAACACCGGUGGCGAAGGCGGUUCUCUGGGCAUUACCUGACGUGAGGAGCGAAAGCAUGGGGAGCGAACGGG
rnacentral:rRNA from 1 species